AGAAACUUAGGAUAACCCACUAAACCAAGGGCCUUCAAAGCCCAAAACAGNGNAGGAACCCNCCUAGUUUCU
rnacentral:tRNA from 1 species